rnacentral:rRNA from 1 species
CCCCGCACAAGCGGUGGAUCAUGUUGUUUAAUUCGACGAUACGCGAAGAACCUUACCAGGUCUUGACAUCCCCUGCAAAGCUAUGGAGACAUAGUGGAGGUUAUCAGGGAGACAGGUGGUGCAUGGUUGUCGUCAGCUCGUGUCGUGAGAUGUUGGGUUAAGUCCCGCAACGAGCGCAACCCUUAUUGCUAGUUACCAUCAUUAAGUUGGGGACUCUAGCGAGACUGCCAGUGAUAAACUGGAGGAAGUGGGGAUGACGUCAAGUCCUCAUGGCCUUUAUGACCAGGGCUACACACGUACUACAAUGGCCGGUACAAAGGGCAGCCACUUAGCGAUAAGGAGCCAAUCCCGUAAAGCCGGUCUCAGUCCGGAUUGGAGUCUGCAACUCGACUCCAUGAAGCUGGAAUCGCUAGUAAUCGCAGAUCAGCACGCUGCGGUGAAUACGUUCCCGGGCCUU